ensembl:lncRNA novel transcript
ACUUGGCACCCCUUACGCCUUACGGUGGCCGCUGCGCCCAGUCACAUCUAUUGCAUUUCUCUGGAAUGACCACAGCAAUAUUUCCAGCCCUUGAUGAUCUUCUAGAACUUUGCCACUUCCCUGCAUCAAGAGGUAAAAUCCAUUUCUAUUCUCUUGAAUUGAACAGCUUCAAUGAAUUGAGUGCUGAAGAAUUAACACUCUGUGACUUCAUGACUUGUUGGAAAUUGUGAGGAAUCUCAGGCCACAUGGAGGGGCCAGUGAAGAUGUUCCAGCUUAUAGCCCCAGCUAAGGUUUCAACUAAUAGCCAGACUCAACCACCAGGUAUAACCUCAUCCUGGAGCAGGGCACCCUAUCGUCAGAUGGUAUCAUCUUUAAGGGGUUGUCUCAGCCAUGCCUUUAGAAUUACCUUUCAUUGCUUGUCAUGCUGGAAGCUUCUGAAUGUUGCAUUUUGUGAUAGAAACAGUGGGUACCAUGGUCAUGUGCUCACAUCUCCUUUGCGGUAAAGAAAAGGAUCACUCAUUAACAUCCACCAGAUAACAUUCUCCAUGAAAGCACCAAAUAAGGUUUGUCUUGGUCCAUUUUAUGCUGCUAUAACAGAACACCACAGACUGAGAAAUUUAUAAGGAAUAGAAGUUUAUUUGCCUCAUGUUUCUGGAGGCUGGGAAUUCCAAGAUCAAGGGGCUGCAUAGAUUGAGGUCCUUUUUGCUGACUCAUAACGUGGAAAGAGAGUGCACUGCAUAGAAGAAAGGAGGCCAAACUCAUUCUUUUAUCAUGAGCCUACUCCUGAAAUAACUCACUCUCAAGAUAAUGGCAUUAAUCCAUUCAUGAAGGCAGAAUACUCAUGAUGUAAUCACCUCUUAAAAGGAACCAUUUUCUGGGUAGACAUGAAUACUUUAAAAACCAAGCAUUUAUACACCAAUAACAGACAAACAGAGAGCCAAAUCAUGAGUGAACUCCCAUUCACAAUUGCUUCAAAGAGAAUCAAAUACCUAGGAAUCCAGCUUACAAGGGACGUGAGGGACCUCUUCAAAGGAGAACUACAAACCACUGCUCAAUGAAAUAAAAGAGGAUACAAACAAAUGGAAGAGCAUUCCAUGCUCAUGGGUAGGAAGAAUCAAUAUUGUGAAAAUGGCCAUACUGCCCAAGGUAAUUUACAGAUUCAAUGCCAUCCCCAUCAAGCUACCAAUGACUGUCUUCACAUAAUUGGAAAAAACUACUUCAAAGUUCAUAUGGAACCAAAAAAGAGCCCGCAUCGCCAAGUCAAUCCCAAGCCAAAAGAACAAAGCUGGAGGCAUCACGCUACCUGACUUCAAACUAUACUACAAGGCUACAGUAACCAAAACAGCAUGGUACUGGUACCAAAACAGAGAUAUAGAUCAAUGGAACAGAACAGAGCCCUCAGAAAUAAUGCCGUGUAUCUACAACUAUCUGAUCUUUGACAAACCUGACAAAAAGAAGAAAUGGGGAAAGGAUUCCCUAUUUAAUAAAUGGUGCUGGGAAAACUGGCUAGCCAUAUGUAGAAAGCUGAAACUGGAUCCCUUCCUUACACCUUAUACAAAAAUUAAUUCAAGAUGGAUUAAAGACUUAAACGUUAGACCUAAAACCAUAAAAACCCUAGAAGAAAACCUAGGCAUUACCAUUCAGGACAUAGGCAUGUGCAAGGACUUCAUGUCUAAAACACCAAAAGCAAUGGCGACAAAAGCCAAAAUUGACAAAUGGGAUCUAAUUAAACUAAAGAGCUUCUGCACAGCAAAAGAAACUACCAUCAGAGUGAACAGGCAACCUACAAAAUGGGAGAAAAUUUUUGCAACUUACUCAUCUGACAAAGGGCUAAUAUCCAGAAUCUACAAUGAACUCAAACAAAUUUACAAGAAAAAAACAAA